GACGAACGCUGGCGGCGUGCCUAAUACAUGCAAGUAGAACGCAGAAGCGAGGAGCUUGCUCUUCUUGGGUGAGUUGCGAACGGGUGAGUAACACGUAGGUAACCUGCCUUGUAGCGGGGGAUAACUACUGGAAACGAUAGCUAAUACCGCAUAACAAUGUAUGACACAUGUCAUUUUUUUGAAAGGGGCAAUUGCUCCACUACAAGAUGGAACUGCGGUGGAUUAGCUAGUAGGUGAGGUAACGGCUCAACUAGGCGACGGUAGCUAACCGGCCUGGGAGGGGGGACGGCCACCAUGGGAACGGGGCACCGCCCAGACCCCCUCGGGGAGGAGCAGGAGGGAAACUUCGGCAAAUGGGGCAAAGCCGAACGGGCAACGCCGGGGGGAGGAAGAAGGGUUUCGGGUCGGAAAGAUCUGUUGUUAGGGAAGAAAGAGUGUUGGAGUGGAAAGUUCACACUGUGACGGUACCUUAUCAGAAAGGGACGGCUAACUACGUG
rnacentral:rRNA from 1 species